rfam:Acyrthosiphon pisum strain LSR1 Contig21407, whole genome shotgun sequence.
AAAACGGUCCUUUUCAGGACCAACCAAUUAGACCACAGUAUUACCG